AGAGUUUGAUCAUGGCUCAGAAUCAACGCUGGCGGCGCGCUUAACACAUGCAAGUCGAACGAGAAAGUCCGCAAGGAUGAGUACAGUGGCGUACGGGUGAGUAACACGUGGAUAAUCUGCCCUUUAGUGGGGAAUACCGUUGGGAAACCGACGACAAUACCGCAUAAUCCCGGGAGGGGAAAGCAGCAAUGCGCUGAAGG
rnacentral:rRNA from 1 species